CGUGUAGGCGGCGGAGCAAGUCAGAUGUGAAAGCCCCGGCUUAACCGGGGAAUUGCAUUUGAAACUGUUUUGCUUGAGUGCGAGAGGGGGUAGUGGAAUUCCCAGUGUAGCGGUGAAAUGCGUAGAUAUUGGGAAGAACACCAGUAGCGAAGGCGGCUACCUGGCUCGCAACUGACGCUAAGGCGCGAAAGCGUGGGGAGCAAACA
rnacentral:rRNA from 1 species